AGUGAACGCUGGCGGUAGGCCUAACACAUGCAAGUCGAACGGCAGCACAGGAGAGCUUGCUCUCUGGGUGGCGAGUGGCGGACGGGUGAGGAAUACAUCGGAAUCUACUCUGUCGUGGGGGAUAACGUAGGGAAACUUACGCUAAUACCGCAUACGACCUACGGGUGAAAGCAGGGGAUCUUCGGACCUUGCGCGAUUGAAUGAGCCGAUGUCGGAUUAGCUAGUUGGCGGGGUAAAGGCCCACCAAGGCGACGAUCCGUAGCUGGUCUGAGAGGAUGGUCAGCCACACUGGAACGGAGACACGGUCCAGAAUCCUACGGGAGGCAGCAGUGGGGAAUAUUGGACGGUGGGCGCAAGCCUGAUCCAGCCAUACCGCGUGGGUGAAGAAGGCCUUCGGGUUGUAAAGCCCUUUUGUUGGGAAAGAAGUCCUGCUGGCUAAUACCCGGUUGGGAUGACGGUACCCAAAGAAUAAGCACCGGCUAACUUCGUGCCAGCCGCCGCCGUAA
rnacentral:rRNA from 1 species